rnacentral:misc_RNA from 1 species
GUGAAUCAUCAAAUCUUUGAACGCACAUUGCACUUUCUGGUAUUCCGGAAAGCAUGCCUGUUUGAGGGUCAGUUAAAUAAAAAUCGGUGCUGUUGCUGCCUUUCGUGGUGACGCGUCGGCAUGGCUUCGUCUUACCUUCGGUUAAGUGACUUAAAAUUUUGCAUGUUUUUCGAACGUAUCUAAAUCGCUUACGUACGUUUGAGAUAUCGAAUGCUUAUUAGGUUCGGUCUUUCCCAUGAUUCGCGCCUAUAAUUUUUCAUUAAACGAC